rnacentral:rRNA from 1 species
UACGGGGGGGAGCAAGCGUUUGUUCGGAUUUACUGGGCGUAAAGCGCGCGUAGGCGGCUUUGCAAGUCGGGUGUGAAAUCCCCAGGCUUAACCUGGGAACUGCAUUCGAGACUGCAUUGCUAGAGUAUGGGAGAGGGAAGUGGAAUUUCCGGUGUAGCGGUGAAAUGCGUAGAUAUCGGAAGGAACAUCAGUGGCGAAAGCGACUUCCUGGACCAAUACUGACGCUGAGGUGCGAAAAGCGUGGGGAGCAAACAGG